GAUGAAGAACGUAGUGAAAUGCGAUAAGUAAUGUGAAUUGCAGAAUUCAGUGAAUCAUCGAAUCUUUGAACGCACAUUGCGCCCCUUGGUAUUCCGAGGGGCAUGCCUGUUCGAGCGUCAUAUUAACCACUCCCGCUUGCGGGGUCUUGGGCUUCGCCUCCGGGCGGGCCUUAUAAUCAGUGGCGGUGCCGUCGGGCUCUACGCGUAGUAAAUUUUCUCGCGAUAGGGUCCCGGUGGAUGCUUGCCAACAACCCCCAACUUCUUAAGGUUGACCUCGGAUCAGGUAGGGAUACCCGCUGAACUUAAGCAUAUCAAUAAGCGGAGGA
rnacentral:misc_RNA from 1 species